rnacentral:rRNA from 1 species
UACGAAGGGGGCGAGCGUUGUUCGGAUUUACUGGGCGUAAAGCGCGCGCAGGCGGCACUGUAAGUAAGGUGUGAAAUAUCCCUGCUCAACGGGGAGGGUGCACUUUAGACUGCAGAGCUAGAGGACGGUAGAGGGGGGUGGAAUUGCUGGUGUAGCGGUGAAAUGCGUAGAGAUCAGCAGGAACACCCGUGGCGAAGGCGGCCCCCUGGGCCGAACCUGACGCUGAGGCGCGAAGGCUAGGGGAGCGAACGGG